rnacentral:rRNA from 1 species
GACAYGACUCUCGGCAAUGGAUAUCUCGGCUCUCGCAUCGAUGAAGAGCGCAGCGAAAUGCGAUACGUGGUGCGAAUUGCAGAAUCCCGCGAACCAUCGAGUCUUUGAACGCAAGUUGCGCCCGAGGCCAACCGGCCAAGGGCACGUCUGCCUGGGCGUCAAGC